rnacentral:lncRNA from 1 species
GAAGACUUAUUACAAAAUAAAAGAAUAAUUAUAAAACGAACUAAGGAUCGUCGGCGCCAAUGUCGACUGAGAAACGCCACCUAGAUCAGAUCGAACUCCUCAGUGUUAGGCGGCUCCUCUUCGACCACCUGCUCUUCUCCUGUGGGGGGGGGGGGUGUGAGACAGCAAGAGUGAGCUCACAUACGUUCAUAGCUCAACAAGUCGUGGGGAAUAAUGUGGCAUGAACUCACCAAAGGUGGGAGUUCAUGUAGUGUAAGGCUAAUCAAUGGAAUAAAGGCUGAGGCUGAGCAUUGCUUUUAUAAGUUGGUCAAAAUUUUAUUAGCAAUUACUAAGUGUAAGUAAAUACCAAACCUUAAUAAUAAUAAAGAAAAGUAAUAGUAAAAUAAUCCCAAAUGCGAUGCAAAUGUCAAAUUAAAUUUAAGUUCCAUAUUUAAUCAUGUGAGGGUCCGAGCCGCUCAUGACCGUGAGCACGGCUAGUAUACUAGUUUUACACUCUGCAGAGGUUGCGCAUCUUUACCCACAAGUCGUGUAUCCCAUGUCGCCUGGGUUUGCAAGGCCCUUAGACACUACCGAGGUGAAUGGCUAGGGAUCCACUACGAGGCCUUUACAAAGUUCCACUAGCUUCCGAAAACCCGCUACAGUUUAUAGGAAGAUCCAGUACAGGGUUCCUGGCUGACAGCCAUCGCAGCAAAAUCAACCAGGGACCUCCCCGCACUGACCUCUCCCCUACUGCCCUUGCCCCUUUCGGGUAAGGUAGUCUUCCACUAGCUUUCCUAAUUAGUCAGCCAAGGGCGUCCCAUUAUACCCUUGUGGUAGCACUGUUUUCCCGGGUGGUCGCUCCAUGUUCCCAUUAAUUUAAUGAUCUUAACAUGAACAAUAAUAAUAACAAGUUAAUAACAGAAUAAUCAUGAAUAGUGUAUCUCCAUACCCAAUCCACAUAAAGCAAUAGCAAGUACUACCCAAAAAUAUUUCAGGGGUGAACAAGGUAUAGAGGUAAUCAAAACUGGGGUAACAUAAAGGCUCCCAUCAAAAUUAUCCUAUGCAGAUCAUUAAAAUUAAUAAGAACAUGGCUGGGAAAGUAAGUGAUCAAGGGCACAACUUGCCUGGCACUUGAGAUUCCAGUUACCAGGGUGAUUCUUCAGAUCCUCGAAACCUCACGCUAGUCGUAGCAAUACAAACAAACAUGGUAUAGACAAAAUUAACAUCACACCAAACAUAAGAACAAACUGAAUAAUAAUGAUCUACGUGUCGCUACGAGAUCGUGGGAACGAGAACCACUAAGAUCGGAGUUAUGGUUAUUAAGUUAUGAUUUUCUGAAGUUAUUUAAUGCCUAGAAUAGAGUUAUUCAUGUGAAUAAUUUUAAAUCAAGUUUCAUGGUUAGGCAAAGAUACGAGAUGAUAAACAAUAUUUAAACAAAAUAAAUGUCACUGGAAUGAAUCAAUUUGGAGUUAUAUAUUUUAAGUUAUGAAUUUCUGAAGGUUUUAUGUGUUUUAUGAAAGAUUAAAUAGGAUAUAAAUUUUAAUAUGACUUUCAUGUAAAAAAAACAGUGGUACCAAUUGAUAAACAAUAAUUUUAUAAAAUUAUAGAAACUGAAAUGAUUUGAUUUGGAGCUAGAAUGAAUUUUCUAUGAAUUAAAUAAAUUUCUAGAAUGAUUUCAACACUAAAAAUCAUUUUCUAAACAAAUUCUUUGGUUUUAAUAAGUGUCUGGUCUGCACUCCAAAUAAACAGAAGCACAGGGUCUAACUCGUAAGAUUCCAUAGACUCAGUCCACAGCUACGGUGGACGGCGGGUUGUUUACCAACAAGCUUAGGGACUCUUUAAGACAAUGUGCUGCGAAGGGGUAUCGGUGGAGAUGAGUCGUUGGAUUAGAUCUGUACGGUCCACAACAGAUCAAGGGAAGGUUGGACUGGUAUUAGAUCUAAGCCGCAGGAUCAAGAUCAACGGCUAGGAUCCUAUAAUACCGGGAUUCAUUCACAUACCUCGGAUUAUAAACUUACGACCGAGAUCUUGUUGAAUGAAGAGGUACGCAGAAUCUAAUCCACUCUUUCCGCCGAGAGAUCUACGGUCCACGCCCCAACUCUUCGGAUCAAAUCUCAACCAUUGCCAUCAAGACCAACGGUCGAGUGCCUGUCUUCUACCUACCGACGGCUAAACACAGCGGCGUGGCCCCGCCCGGUGGUGCCCCUCGCUGGUGAGCCAUACCAGGCGCCCCGAUGCUCCAAAGUCCAACCCGUACGAACAACACAUGAAUAUGAAUAGCGCGAAUGCAAGAGAGGCUUCAUUACCUCGAUUAACACGACGUUGCCCGUACCCGCCGAGCACAGAGGUGGUCGGUAUUUGGUGAAGAAUUUCGGCUUCAACGGUGGUCAAUCCUUCCUUCCCCGGCCACGAGCACCUCCCAAGAAACACAAAGAAUCUCCUAAACCCACAGUGGACUCCAGGACGCCGGUUGGGAAUGAGGUCGGUGCUGGCGGGCAUUUUCUGCUCCUAAUCCUCUCCCCUCGAUUUCCGACGUGUAUGCACUCUCCUCAUGAACUGGCGAGACCUGUGAUGGUGCGUCACCAGGUCUUCGGCGGUAGGGACACUACUGGUGAUUCCAGGAAGGGACCGAUGAUGCCCACCAUUAUAGCCGCGAGGGAGGGUGGACGGGAGGGCGACGGAAUCGGAUCUCGCCCGGUUUCUCGCGGCGGCUGGUACUCGUAUUUAUA